rnacentral:lncRNA from 1 species
CACAUCUCGAUUCUUCUACGCCCUGACCAGAUCAAACGAAUUAUGCUACUAUGGUAUUGUUAUUUUUUAAAACAAAACUGACAGGUCCACAUGUACCAAUUGAAGUGACUAUCUAUUGCUGCAACUGCACGAUAAUUAAAAUAAUACUGAAUACUUACGUUUGGAUGUUUCUCUGAAUAUAAGUUUAACCAGCAUAGUCUCUAUCAAAUGUUCCCAGAUUUGCUAUAGACUGGUCGCAUAUAAGGCAGAGGGUAAAGGGCACGAGGUCAAACUAAAUCAUUUACAAACAUAUCACAAAGUUUCAUUAUUUUUUCGUAGGCGACAGCCGAGCACGAGGCGUACAAAAGUUCAUGAAUUCUGCAUGACCCAACUGAUACCCAAGUUCCCUGGUCAAAGCCUGCUGACCAGACAGAAGUUUGUUUCCAAGAAAGGAAUAUUGCAGAGUCGCCCAAAGGCAAUUGUUCAACAUAAUGCUCAAAUAAGCAAACUGGCAAGCAGCGAAAGAUCCGAAGUCACGUGUCUGGACAUCAAUAUUAACUCUCCUUUGAAUGACCUUUGGAGUAAAGGAUGCGGAAGGAAGACAAGGAUUGAGUACGAACGUUGUACAACAGCGCCUUCUCCUGGAACAAAUACGCACAGCAGUAAACACACACGCAAUAUUUUAUAUCGAUGCAUUAUAUGAUAUAUUAUAUAUUAGGCCUAUGUUAAUAAAAGUCUGAAAACACCGUUUCUAUACUUGGGAUAAAUACGUGGAAUUCAGUAAAGGAAAAAAAACCAAACAUUAUUUGAAAAGACUGUUAUUUUGUAUUUCAGCAAUGAUCAUUUUAAUCUAUUUUUAUUAUGUCAGUUUGUUGUUCCACCUCACCUUAUACAAACGUUUCUUACUGAAUUCCGUAUAGCCGAGUUAUUGAACAUAACCUGAACAUAACACAAUUAUGUUCUUCUCGGGGAAAAUACAUCAACAUUUCUAUUUUCAUAAAACAGAACUUUUUUUUCUGAUUAAAUCAUCUAUCUGGCAUUGUGUUUAUGUUAUUGUCAUUAAAUCGAACACUGUUUUUUAUAUUUACUUAGCUCUUUUACUUAUUUCUUAUUUCAUUAAAAUUUUAUUUCAUUAAAAAUAAUUCCCUUCCCCCUACUCAGUUUACAGUUGUAUAUUCAUAUCUAAAUACUGUUGUGUGGGUACGAGAAUGGGCUGGUUUGUUCCUUGUUAGCUGUAAUGCAAAAACACUUAUAGUUGUUAUUCUUAAUAAAGCG